rnacentral:miRNA from 1 species
CGGUGGACUGGAGUGGGUGG